GUGGGUAUAGCUCCAUGGUAGAGCACGUGCUUAGCAUGCAUGUGGUCCUGGGUUCAAUCCCCAGCACCUCCG
rnacentral:tRNA from 1 species